rnacentral:rRNA from 1 species
GUCUAUGGCCACGCUACUCUGAACAAGCCCAAUCCCGUCUGACCUCAGAAGCACAACAGGGUCGGACCUGGUUAGUACUUGGAUGAGAGACCACCUAGGAAGACCAGGUGCUAUAGGCU